UUACAAAAGGAAUGCAACACUAACAGAAUACAGAAGGGCAAUCAAUGAACAAAAGACAAAUAAUGAAGAAACAUUGAUCCCGAAAAAUCAGGCCUACGUCUGAAGGAAAACAGAACUUGCUUCUUGCAAGGCACUCGCCGUGAACACAAUUUGAUAUGGAGACAAGCGUUUGGUCUUUUCCUAUAUGAGGCAUUUGCCUCAAUGUAGUUACGGUCC
rnacentral:lncRNA from 1 species